rnacentral:lncRNA from 1 species
CAGAGAAGUAAGGGGCAGGCAGCAAGCAGGCAGGCCUUGAAUCAAAAUUGAAAUCUCAGCCCUGACAAUAACAUUUUGAAGAGGAGCGCAAGAGGCCUGCCCAAUGGCAGGAGACGAGACUGUAGCUGCGGAGGGGACUGCGACUGCGACUGUGGAGACCUCUACAGGGGCUGCUGUUUGCAUAUCAAUUUUAGGGGGAAAAAUAAGCAGCAACUGGGCGCUGACUGGCAUUUGUGUGUCAACAACUGUUUGGUAUGCGUGGCAUGCGGCACGAUGAGGUUGCCAGGCCCACAUACAAAUGAGUCCUUGUGGGUCACGUAGCCAUUCAAUAGGUCAACGGGUCAUAACAACAGAUUCGCCCAGCGAUAUUUGUUAUCGAUGUUCGUUGCCUGUAAUUAAUAAACAAUGACCGGC